GACGAACGCUGGCGGCGUGCUUAACACAUGCAAGUCGAACGGAAAGGCCCUGCUUGUGUGGGGUGCUCGAGUGGCGAACGGGUGAGUAACACGUGAGUAACCUGCCCUUGACUUUGGGAUAACUUCAGGAAACUGGGGCUAAUACCGGAUAGGAGCUCCUGCUGCAUGGUGGGGGUUGGAAAGUUUCGGCGGUUGGGGAUGGACUCGCGGCUUAUCAGCUUGUUGGUGGGGUAGUGGCUUACCAAGGCUUUGACGGGUAGCCGGCCUGAGAGGGUGAACGGCCACAUUGGUACUGAGAUACGGCCCAGACUCCUACGGGAGGCAGCAGUGGGAAAUAUUGCACAAUGGGCGCAAGCCUGAUGCAGCAACGCCGCGUGCGGGAUGACGGCCUUCGGGUUGUGAACCGCUUUCGCCUGUGACGAAGCUUGAGUGACGGUAAUGGGUAAAGAAGCACCGGCUAACUACGUG
rnacentral:rRNA from 1 species